CAAGUCAGCCGGUCAAGCACUUCGGAAGAGUCUGCGCGUUCCGACAGUGUAGUGUUCCCUGGGCUUGAAAAAUCAUUCACCUUCCUUGUCUAACCCGGCGAUGUGUGUUUCUGCUCUCAAUUUCUGCCGAUUCUUCUCACACUACCGUGCUCGAAACCUUGUUGUUCAGAAUGCUUUGCCUUCUCUUCUGUUCAGAGUCAGGCAUCCACGUUGUUUUGAGAGAUGAGUUGUAAGCUCUAUCGGUUUUCCUGGGUUGAAUUCUCCGAAAAGCUGGGCUCUAAUUUUUAUUCAUCUUGUCAUAUGCUAUGCAUGGCUGUCAAUGAUGUAGAGUAUGGAUUUUGGUUCAAGGAGAAGUUUUUACUGCUACCCCCCCCUUUUCUGGUUCAUUUUUAUUAGCAGG